UUUGUGUGGUUGUUGUUGAGUGUGUAUGUUACAUUAAUUGUAACAUAGGGGCUCCCUUUUUUUUAUAUUAUUGUUUCUUAAUAGUUCAUAAAAUAAAAAAGAUGAAAAAUUUUCUUUUACCACGAAUUCAUGGCAUGAACUUACUUUCAUUUUCAUCAGUUUAGAUACCCUACACAGCUGCCUACGAGAAAGAUUUGAUGACUUGGCUUACCAUCUAGGGUCCGCCUACCGUGCAACAGUUACACGGUACCCACUUUUUGUCUUUUUUCAACUCAGCCAAUGGAUCAAUGGCUAAAGUCUUCAACGGCCAGGAUGUGUUCAAUUGGUUAUUAACACUUAAGUCCCUACUGUUUAUUACAAAAUCAUAAAAGCUAAAAGUUUUAAAUAUUCACUUACAUAAUUUCUGUUGUUUUAAAUUUUUUAAAGUUUGAUCCAUUGACUUAAUUUGAUCAUAAAAAUGAUUGAUGGUGUAAAUAUAAUAAUGUAAUAUCACAUAAAAUUUUUAAACACAUGAAAAUUUGAUAAAUGUAAAUAAUAUUUUUUGUUAUAUAAUAUAUAUUUAAUGUAAAAUAAAUAAAUUGAAUAUGUUUUAAGAACAUAGGUUAUUAACCUUGAUACUUUAGAAAAUUAUAAAAUAAAAAAGGUCAAAUUUUAAAAUAAGAAACAUGUAAAAAGUCUUAGGUUGUAAAAUUUUAUUAUUUUAAUAUUACAAAACUUUACUUUUUUAUUACAUGUUUGUUUUUAGCAUUAGUUGACAUGUUAGUUUAUUUAUACAUAUAAUAUGUUAAUUUACCUAUAAAAUAUCAAUAUAUAUAUAGCCCAACAAAGUUAUAGAAAGAUAAAUAAAGAAUAAUAUAAAAGGAAGUUAGUUUAUUUUUUUAAGAAUAUUUCAAAAGCAUUUGAGCUUCAUGUUUCUUGAGAAUUAUCAUUUUUUAAAGAUAUUUGAGCUUGUGAAUCUUGCUGUAAUGAUAAUUUAUUAUUUAUUCUUGAUUAAAAAUAAUUGAAUAGUAAAUUUAUUGAUUUCCAAAUGCUCUUUUAAAUAUAGGGUAGUUACUUAAUUUUUAUUGUAUUAGCCUAAACUUUGUGAUGAUAGCUAAUCAACCAUUGCAAAAGUUCUACUACGAUUAUCUUUACUUUCUCUAUAUCCCUCUAGACCAUCUUCACUCAAAAAGUUAAAGGUCCGUUUGACACACUAUAAUAUAUUAUAUUGUAUUAUAUUAUGUAAUGCACAUGUAUUAUAUUAUAUUAUAUUACAUUAGCAGUAUAUUAUAAUAAUUAUUAUAAAAUUACACAAUGUUUGGUAAUUGGUAUUAUCCUGUACUGCAUUAAUUUUGUACUAAUAUUAAACAAAUUAUUUAAAAUUAUUAUUAAUUAUAUUAAAUUAUUAUUUUCAUAUUAAUUAUUUUUAAAUAAAUAUAAUAUGAUAUAAUAAAAUAAUAUUAUAGUAUAAUUAUUUUUAUAUUUUUAGUUAUUACAAUAAAAAAUAAAAAAAAUAAUUAAAAUAUAUUUAAUGCUUAAUUAAGGCAAAAUAAUAAUAAUGAUAGUGUUAUUACUUAAAAGUCAAAACAAAAAAAAAUUAUAAAGUUUAAUGAUGAUGACGACGGCAAUGACGACAUUAAUAUUUAUAUAAUAAUUAGAAUAAUAAGAUUAAUAAAUUUUAUUAAUAUUAAUAAAAUAAUAUUAACAAUAAUUAAUAAUAAAUUUAAUAUAUUUUAAUAAUAGUGACAAUAAUAAAAUCAAUAAAUAAUAAUAAUAAUAAUAACUAAUUAAAGCAAUCAUAACAAUUAAAAUAAUAAAUUUUAAUAAUGUUAAUAUUAAUAUAAUAAUAAUGACAUUAAUAAAUAAUAAUAAUAACAGUUAAUUUUUUUUCAAAAGUCAUUUUAUGAUUUUAUCCAAAGAAAAGGACCUAUAUAUAAAAAUUUGAACUCAUAGUAUUUAUUUAGUUUUCUUAUAAAAUAUAGGGUAGUGUAGUGUGAUUUUUGGAAAAAGACAAGAUUCAGGUAGUGUUUACUUUUUGGAGUGGGAGUGUGGAGUGUGGAGUGUGGAUUCCUCCAAUUCCAGUGUUUACUUACUUUAAAAAAGGGGAGAGUGGGAGUGGGAAUCCGUGGGUCCCACCCAAUUUUGGAGUGGGGAGUGGGAUUCCCACUCCUAUGGGGAGAGGUGGGAGUGGGAAUCCACUCCCCCCUCUUCCCAUUUUAUCCUUAUAAAAAUAAAUAAAUAAAUAAUAUUUAAUAAAAUAAAUAAAUAAUAUUUAAUAAAAUAAAUAAAUAAUAUUUAAUAAAAUAAAUAAUAUCAUAUUUAAUAAAAUAAAUAAUAUCAUAUUUAUUAAAAAUAAUAAUUAUAUCAUAUUUAUUAAAAAUAAUAAUUAUAUCAUAUUUAUUUAAUAAAAUAAAUAUUAUAUUUAAAUUAAUAAUAUUAAACAUUAAUUUUAAUAAAUAUUAAUUAAUUAACUAUUUAAUAAUAAUAAAUAUUUUAUUCUAAAAAAAUAUUAAUUUUUUACUAUAUUAUCAAUAAUAAUAUUUCAUUUGUGUUGCUAUUAUUAAUAAUUUUUAUUCACAUAAUCUAAAUUAAAAUUAAUAAAAAAUUAUGAUUUACAUAAUUAAGAAUAUUAGUAAUUAUUAUUAAUUUAUAAAUAUAAUAAAAUAUUUAUUUUAUUUUUCAAAUAUAUUUUUUAUUAAUUUUUUAAUUACAAAUUAUAAUUCUGUACAUAAGGAUAAAAUUGUAAUUUAAAAUAAUUUACUCCCAGACAAAGUAAACAAAUAAUUAGGAUUCUGAUUGACAAUCCAUAAUUUUAUUUAGUCUAAGUAAACACCCUACUCCCACUCCCACUCCACACUCCUAAUCCAAGGAUUCCCACUUCUCAGGAUUCUCACUCCAAUCCAAAAAGUAAACGCAGCAUCAGUGAUAUCGUGCAACUGUUGCACGGUAGCCUGACCCAUCUAUCUAUUACUAGCGAAGCACGGGGAAUGUAAGUUAUUAAAUUUUGACAUAUGAUUAGCGUACAAAACAAAAAUAUAACUGCUCAUGAAUUAGGGUUAUUUUCUUUUGGAGAAGAAUAGAAGAUGAUUUGGUUUUGAAAGAUAGUUGUAAAGAGUACUUUAAUUAAAAAAAAAAAUCUUAUCCUUUAAGUAUUUUAUUUUACGGUAAUUGAGUAAUAAUUUUUUAAAUUAAACAAUAGGU
rnacentral:lncRNA from 1 species